UGCCAAGAGCCACGUGAGUGAGCCUGGAAGUGGAUGCUUCCCCACUUGAGCUUCGGGAAGACUGCAGCUUCAGGGGACAAUGCCAUUGCAACCUGAGUCACAGGCGAUCCGCUAAGCCGCGUUUGGAUUUCUCACCAACGAAAUCUGGAAGAGCAUGAAGAAUAUUAAGAAAACUAAAGCAGGAUCAAGCCCAAUGCACUGAUGAAGAAUAUCCUAACUGAAACAUGCUACGUCAUCUCAACACGUUUGAUCCUCACAUGACAAAAAAUCAGCACUGAUGAUCCCCAGGAAGAGGGGGUGGCAGCACUUUAUGAUAGGAAAGAUUCUUUCUGCUCCCAGACUUUCCUAAUGCAGCCCUCCAUUCCAGGCUACAAUGAAGGCUGCCUAUUCUUCCUGGGCUCACGUCUUCCUAACUCUGCCCUCAGUCGUUUCCAGUCUAGUUGGAGAAGGCUAAGUAUACAGUAUAUGAAAAGCAAGAAUUAUGUAACAGACAACAAUGCAAUAGAACCAAGAAAAAUUGGUGAACACUUGUCAAAGUCUGGUGAAGAAAAUUUGGGCUUCAGCAUGAGUAUGGUGAUAUAGCAAAAGGACACAGAGAUGGCUCCAUGGAAUAGAAGGGGUUUUACUUCCUCUGGAGACUGAGAGAAGGCCAUCACCGGCUGAGCAGAGAGGUCAGAGUUCCUGUUCCAGCUAAGGCGGAGUUAACACGAGCCUCUUUUCACUUCCACUGAACUCAACUAUAAAACCAGGAGAGAAUUCACAGUCUAGCUAUUUGAGAACUUGAAAAGCAAAUAGCAACAAGUGGAUCAGAGAAAAACGCCAGAAUUUGGAGCAUCAUUGAACUAGUGAGUGAAAAUGUACGACACCCCAUGAAAUACUGGAGAUGGCUAUGCAGGACUGAUCAUAUUACACAAAGCUGAUGUAAGUAAAGAGCAGAUAAGAUAUUCUUCAUAAUCCAUUUCCCAGCUAGCUAUAAAAAAUCAGUGCUAUAUCAACAUAUAUGUUGGAUCCUAAUAAUAAAGCUACAUAUGUUGGUCAAAGGAGAAAACAAAUAAACACUGGUCUUGGAUCUCAACUUAUUUACCAGCAAUCUAUAUGAAAUGAUUUUGCUGGAAAGCUUCCCCAAUGACAUAACAGGGUGCUGCACCUCCAAGGAUGGGAGAAGUUCUUAAAGUGUUUAGAAAUCUUCAUGUAAUUAUCAAAUAUUGGUGACUGUGCAUUUGGCAUAUACUCUAUGAAAAUGUGAGAGUAUUCUUUUCUCUUUACUUAAGGCAGUUCUGAGAACAACCCAUAAACAGCUUCCCCCAAGUCUCCCCUUUAUUAUCAUCCAUCAUGCUUAGCUAUUUUAAUUUGACACUGGCCGUAUCUUGCUGCCAAGGAGAGCAUGGAUAAUUCCGCAUUGACAUUGCUAAUUUCUAGAAUGUAACCACAAGGUUUGACAUGAUGCAGUCAGGCAGUAACCAAAAGCAUAUUUUCUGAGUUCCCUCGUAAAACCUCAGUGGAUAUGAGGGUCUUAAAAAAAUAAAACUUAUGCCUGGUUAUUUUUAGUCCACCAAAUGUGAGAAAAGAUGAGUGAAAUCUCAGUCAUUAAAAAGAGAGAUAGAGUGUCUUAAAAAAUCCACUCAAAUUAGAAAAAUAUGGCAACACUUUCAUUCAUCAGCAAACACUUAUUAAGGGCCUAUAUGUGCCAGCAACUGAGCUUUCUGUGCUCAGUUCAAUUUUAGUGCACAUCUGGUCUACUACAGAACACUGUUUGAAAAUAUCUGAAAUAAACCUGCUAAAAAAUUUAACUCUCUCUCUCCCUCUACUUCUCUUCCUCUCCCUCUGUCCUUCUUUCCCUAUUUUUCUCUCUCCAAAUUUCCCUCUUUCUGUAUCAAUGAGAAAGGCAGAAUGAUGGCAUAUUCAGAAGAAACAUAGAUUAUUUCUGGUUUAUAGUGAAAAAGCAAUGGUUUAGAAAUUAUAUGUCCUGUCACCUACUAGAUGCAUGAUCUCUAGCAAGUCAUUUAAUUUAUCUGAUGAUGACAAAACAACACCCUGCCUAAUAGUUCAUAGGGUACUUUGAGACCCACAUAUGAUAAAAUAUGUAUGUUUUGACAACUGUCAAGUGCUUAAUAAAUGUUAGAUGUUAUCUUAUGUGGGAAAGUAUUAAAAUGAAUAUCUAGUUUAUAUAAAGGUGUUUUAAUCAUAUUUGUUAUAUAUGAUUAAAAAUAAUAAAUGUAUAGAGUGCACACACACACACACAUACAGAGUUGACCCUUGAACAAAGUUUUGAACUUGGAGGGUCUGUUUAUAUGCAGAUUUUCUUCCACUUCUGCCAUCCCUGAGAGAGCAAAAUCAACCCCUUCUCUUCUCCUUAGCCUACUAAAUGUGAAAAUAAUAAUGAAGACCCUUAGGAUGACCCACUUCCACUUAAUGAAUAACAAAUAUAUUUUCUCUUCAUUAUGCUUUCCUUCACAUUUUCUUUUCUCUAGCUUACUUUAUUGUAAGAAAACAGUAUAUAACACAUACAGCAUACAAGAUAUGUGUUAAUUGACUAUGUUAUUGGUAAGGCUUCUGUUUAACAGUAGUUGUAUUAGUCAGAGUUCUCUACAGGGACCAAAGUAAUAGGAUAGAUGUAUACAUAAAGGGGAGUUUAUUAAGGAGUAUUGACUCGCAUGAUCACAAGGUGAGGUCCCACAGUAGGCUGUCUGCAAGCUGAGAAGCAAAGAAGCCAGUCCGAGUCCUGAAGCUGAAGAACUUGGAGUCUGAUGUUUGAGGGCAGGAAGCAUCCAGCAUGAGAGGAAGAUGUAGGCCAGAAGACUAAACCAGUCUAGUUUUGCCAUGUUCUUCUGCCUGCUUUUAUUCUGGUCAUGCUGGCAGCUGAUUAGAUUGUACCCACUCAGUAGUGCCUUUCCCAGUCCACUGACUCAAAUGUUAAUCUCCUUUGGCAACACCCUCACAGACACACCUAGGAGCAAUACUUUGCAUCCUUCAAUCCAUCAAGUUGACACUCAAUAUUAACCAUCACAGUAGUUAAGUUUUUGAGAAGUCAAAAUUUAUUUAUGGAUUUUUCAACUGUGUGUGUGUGUUGGG